rnacentral:lncRNA from 1 species
UAUGUGAUGUGAAGUAUUUAUAACCAUCUCACGUUGAUGUGGACCGUCCAUCACGAUCAAUCUUGUUCGUCUAAUCGCUCCUAAGAAGGAAACGAAUAUGGGUCGUUCAUCGCGAUUAACCUCGACCGUCCAAUCACGCUUAAGGGAGAAACGAAUCCAGGUUGUCCACGCGUGCGGGAUCGAUCAUGGGCCGUCUGAUCGCGGACACGCGGAUCGCCAGCAUGACCAAACUUUCUCUAUUUGCAUUUUGACCAUCUACUU